rnacentral:miRNA from 1 species
UAAGCAAGCUCUUUUCCCAGGC